UCAGUGCCAGACAGGACACAGCAUGGACAUGAGGGCUCCUGCUCAGCUCCUGGGGCUCCUACUGCUCUGGCUCCAAGGUGCCAGAUGUGCCACGGUAACCCAGAGUCCAUCCGUGGUGUCUGCACCUGUGGGAGGCACAGUCACCAUCAAUUGCCAGUCAAGUCAGAGUGUUUACGGCAACAAUGAAUUAUCCUGGUAUCAGCAGAAACCAGGGCAACGUCCAAAGCUCCUGAUCUACAGUGCAUCCACUUUAGAGUCUGGGGUCCCUGACAGGUUCAAGGGCAGUGGAUCUGGGACAUCAUUCACUCUCACCAUCAACUCGGUGCAGGCUGACGAUGCAGGAACCUACUACUGUCAAGGAGCUUAUUUUACUGCUGGUAGUUAUACACACACAGUGACACAAGCCUAA